rnacentral:lncRNA from 1 species
UUUAAACUCAUUAAGUUGGGCAAAAAUACAAAAUCAUUAGUUUUCUAAAUUCUUGGAAUAUUCAGGAAAUGUAAUUGUCAAAAAAUCUGGUUUUUAAUUUACAAAAAUGCAGAAUGAAAAUAAUAAAAAACGGGGAAAUAUAAAAGAGGACUUGACUAGAGGAGUCUUAAUUUUCCUUAAGGGAAUGUUCCUAAUUUAUAUAUUUGUUUCAGAUCUCAUGAAAAUCCCAAUGAAUUUGAGAUAAAGAUGUUCUAGUCUUUUAAGGAAAAUAGACAUUGGAGAAGAGCAAAGAUAAUUGAAGAAGAGUGACAGGACCACCCUAGAUUCACAGGAAGGGGACUACACAACGUUAUGAACACCAAGAGGCGGUUCACGGGGAGAUGCCAGUAGAGCCAGUGGUGUUCUGACAAAUUGACAGUUUUCCACUUUCCUAAGAAGAAGAAAUGGCCAAAUCCCA